AUGCUAUCACCCAUGCGCGCAGUGAUGGCAUGGUGGCCGAAGAAGGCCGUCUUCUGGGGAGCCGCGCUGGCCGCCAUCUCCACCCGCGGCCACACCAAUAAGACAGUAAUAUGCAGAGAAGGUAAUCCUUUAAGCUCCAAGGAAAUAGCUGAAUGUCACUACCAAAUUAAAUUACCUUUGUACAGAAAACACGUGGAGUUAUGUGAUAUGCAAAUCCUUUUAUCACUCAUUAAAAUUUUGCAAGUUCUUGCCAUACCCGAAGCUUCCAUUAUCGCUGACUUUGCCGGAAUGCCUGCACCCAUGUUCCAGGUGCCAAUAAUGAAUCCUGUGUUUAGUUGCACCAAUACAAGGUGUGGAGAGUUUGGGUUCGGAAGGUCUGCAGGAGGUGCCUUUGAGAACUUGAUCAGCUACUCGAGCUUCAUUGUCAGCGAAGUCUCCACUGGGUUGCCCAGAUCUGUCCUGAAUUGCUUCAUUGAUGACAAUUUGGAGAAGGCUUCGCUGACACUUACAAAGGAUGUUUUCCUUUGUUGGAAAGCCGAGGUUACGCUGGAGAUAGACAUGGGGUGCCUAUGCUGGUUUGCCUACAAUAAUUAUCAGAAGUGGUGGUUGUGCGGUGGAGGUGGGGCUUCAUCCUUCAGGCAAAUCGUGCAACAUGGAUCUGGUCUGAUAUCGAUCCAGACAGAUCUGGCGCUGGCAGCCCGUCCGACGGCGAGGGCUGAGGCCAACAGGGGCCGUGUGCGGCCGGCGCUGGCGUGGAUCGGGUGGUCUGGGUACAAGGUGGCGGCCCUGGCAGUGGGAGGCGUGUUGAUCUUGGGCGGAUUUGCGCGGCUCAGGAGCGGGAGAGCAGACAAGGCUGCUCGGGCGGCAUGGAUGCGGGUGGUUGGCGGAGCGGGGAUGAUGGCGACUAUCAGUGGUCCCACCCUUCUUGGAGGCACCAUUUUGGAGUCCCCGCUCCGGCGUUGGCUGCCUCACCUCUCCUUGGUGGAUCACUCAUGUGGUGGUCCGUCGGCUAGAAGCGGUUCUUCUUUGCUCAUUCGUAGUAUGCUUGGUAGUCGCUGGGGUGGUUUGUCGGCACCUUUGUAUCUUGCUUUGGGUGUGUGUUGA
rnacentral:rRNA from 1 species